rnacentral:lncRNA from 1 species
GGAUAUUGAUGUUUAAGUAAUGCACAGUCUAGCCCAUUACACAGACUUCUGAUUUUGGAAGUAAUGAAUGAGAACUGGUGUCAUGUAAAUUGCUGUCAUCUACAGUGGUGUGGUAAGUUUGGGCAUUAAUAAUUGAAUACUUACAGUGGUUUGCCUUGUCACCUCAGUGCUUCUCAUUGCCACCCUUUCCCUUUGUCAGGGAUUUAAGCCUCAAGCAGAAUAAUUGAAAAUGCAACUGGACAAAGCUUUGAGCCGAAU